rnacentral:rRNA from 1 species
UGGAUCCAGACUUUGAUUAUGGCUCAGGACGAACGCUGGCGGCGUGCUUAACACAUGCAAGUCGAACGGGGUGUUUAUUUCGGUAAACACCAAGUGGCGAACGGGUGAGUAACGCGUAAGCAAUCUACCUUCAAGAUGGGGACAACACUUCGAAAGGGGUGCUAAUACCGAAUGAAUGUAAGAGUAUCGCAUGAGACACUUACUAAAGGAGGCCUCUGAAAAUGCUUCCGCUUGAAGAUGAGCUUGCGUCUGAUUAGCUAGUUGGUGAGGGUAAAGGCCCACCAAGGCGACGAUCAGUAGCCGGUCUGAGAGGAUGAACGGCCACAUUGGGACUGAGACACGGCCCAGACUCCUACGGGAGGCAGCAGUGGGGAAUCUUCCGCAAUGGGCGAAAGCCUGACGGAGCAACGCCGCGUGAACGAUGAAGGUCUUAGGAUCGUAAAGUUCUGUUGUUAGGGACGAAGGGUAAGAAUCAUAAUAAGGUUUUUAUUUGACGGUACCUAACGAGGAAGCCACGGCUAACUACGUGCCAGCAGCCGCGGUAAUACGUAGGCGGCAAGCGUUGUCCGGAAUUAUUGGGCGUAAAGGGAGCGCAGGCGGGAAACUAAGCGGAUCUUAAAAGUGCGGGGCUCAACCCCGUGAUGGGGUCCGAACUGGUUUUCUUGAGUGCAGGAGAGGAAAGCGGAAUUCCCAGUGUAGCGGUGAAAUGCGUAGAUAUUGGGAAGAACACCAGUGGCGAAGGCGGCUUUCUGGACUGUAACUGACGCUGAGGCUCGAAAGCUAGGGUAGCGAACGGGAUUAGAUACCCCGGUAGUCCUAGCCGUAAACGAUGGAUACUAGGUGUGGGAGGUAUCGACUCCUUCCGUGCCGGAGUUAACGCAAUAAGUAUCCCGCCUGGGGAGUACGGCCGCAAGGUUGCAACUCAAAUGAAUUGACGGA